rnacentral:rRNA from 1 species
AACGAUAAAGCGGGUGAAAAGCCCGCUCGCCGGAAGACCAAGGGUUCCUGUCCAACGUUAAUCGGGGCAGGGUGAGUCGACCCCUAAGGCGAGGCCGAAAGGCGUAGUCGAUGGGAAACAGGUUAAUAUUCCUGUACUUGGUGUUACUGCGAAGGGGGGACGGAGAAGGCUAUGUUGGCCGGGCGACGGUUGUCCCGGUUUAAGCGUGUAGGCUGGUUUUCCAGGCAAAUCCGGAAAAUCAAGGCCGAGGCGUGAUGACGAGGCACUACGGUGCUGAAGCAACAAAUGCCCUGCUUCCAGGAAAAGCCUCUAAGCAUCAGGUAACAUCAAAUCGUACCCCAAACCGACACAGG